UUUAUUGAGAGUUUGAUCCUGGCUCAGGACGAACGCUGGCGGCAUGCCUAACACAUGCAAGUCGAGCGAG
rfam:Clostridium disporicum strain 2789STDY5834856 genome assembly, contig: SCcontig000008